rnacentral:tRNA from 1 species
GGUCUUGUGUUCAUUUUGUGAUUAUAGAAUGCAAUUCUAUAGGGGUGAGUUGAGUUGCUUACCAAGGCCU